rnacentral:miRNA from 12 species
CUUUCGAGCAAUAAUCACAAUC